rnacentral:misc_RNA from 1 species
UGAAAUGCGAAACGUAAUGCGAUUUGCACGAACCUGUGAGUCAUCAAGUCUUUGAACGCACCUUGCACCAUAUGAGCAAUCGUAUGGUAUACCUGUUUGAGAAUCGUAAAAACCUCUCCUAGCCCUUGGGCUGGGGAAGUGUCGGUUUUCAAGGUUUUUUUGAAUCCGAUCAAAAGCAGUAGGUCUAGUCAGGCUGGUGGCCUGGGACAUUGUGUGCUAGAGACGUCGCUUCGGCUGCUGUCUUCUCACGAUGCGUCCUGGGCUAUCCAAAGCUGGUCUGGCGGUUGGCCUCCUCGGUGUGGCUGCGCAAGCGGCGACACAACCCCCCUUUUUGAUCUCAAAUCAGGUAAGGCUACCCGCUGAACUUAA